rnacentral:lncRNA from 10 species
UCAGAGUAUUAACAGUUUAAUGUUACGUAUUCCCUUUUGCCAAGUUUCAAGCAGUGGUAUAUGGGCCAAAGAUGGCUCCACAUGCCAAAGGUGGCAUAAGGGCUCCAAAUGUUCUCCUCAUCCAGAGAUGAGAUGUUGUAAAAGUGUCAUGCCCUGGUCACCUUCACCUACUUAGUUAUGAACAGGACUAGCUACUUCAGAGGUGCCCUCAGCAGUG